GCAGAGAAAGCCCUUUCUGCAAACCCCAAACUGAAAUCUUUUAUGGCUUCUGAAUGUCGUAAAGCUUCCUCUUUAGACGAAGUCUCUGAUGAUACUGAGAUAGACAAAACGCUUCCCUCCAAAUCAACCCUAGUCGCCGCCAACCUGAAACGGAAUUAAGAAGCGGCAGCGAGCUGACUGAGGAGAUCGAAAAUACGCUUCUGAAAAGUAAAAUAAAUUGAACAAAUCUUGAAAAUUUGAACAAACACCCAUAAAUUUGAACAAUUUUUACAAAACAAGAAUCAUCAAAACCUAACUCUAGCAAAAAUUGAAAAUUAAAAACCAAAACAAACAAGAACAUCGAAAUCACACAAGCUAACCCUGAAUAGCGCGAACAAAUCAAAGCUUGAAAUUAUGAAAACACAAUUGAAAUCAUGGCAUAAUGGAUUCACAUAAGCGACGAGAAACAACAUGCAAAUGAGAAAUUGGACAUGAGGAGUGGCUAAGAGGCCGUUGUUGAAGAAGUGCUUGCUGCACCAGUGCUUCUUGUUGCUGCUGAUGCUGCUUCAACCUCUAGUACUGCAUUUUCCUUCAGAAUCGAAGGAUUUGUAAACUGUUUGUCGAAGGAUUUGUAAACU
rnacentral:lncRNA from 1 species